AGUGAACGCUGGCGGUAGGCCUAACACAUGCAAGUCGAACGGCAGCACAGUAAGAGCUUGCUCUUACGGGUGGCGAGUGGCGGACGGGUGAGGAAUACAUCGGAAUCUACUUUUUCGUGGGGGAUAACGUAGGGAACCUUACGCUACUACCGCAUACGACCUCCGGGUGAAAGCAGGGGAUCUUCGGACCUUGCGCGAUUGAAUGAGCCGAUGUCGGAUUAGCUAGUUGGCGGGGUAAAGGCCCACCAAGGCGACGAUCCGUAGCUGGUCUGAGAGGAUGAUCAGCCACACUGGAACUGAGACACGGUCCAGACUCCUACGGGAGGCAGCAGUGGGGAAUAUUGGACAAUGGGCGCAAGCCUGAUCCAGCCAUACCGCGUGGGUGAAGAAGGCCUUCGGGUUGUAAAGCCCUUUUGUUGGGAAAGAAAAGCAGCAGGUUAAUACCCCGCUGUUCUGACGGUACCCAAAGAAUAAGCACCGGCUAACUUCGUG
rnacentral:rRNA from 1 species